rnacentral:snoRNA from 1 species
AAGCAUGAUGGGGGCAUCAUGCUAGUAAAUUCUUGAACCUCUUGUAAGUGUCGGGAAAAGAUUCUCCUUCUUUCAGUUUGUAACUGGAAAUCUCUUGCCUCUUUCU